UUUUGAGGCAGAAGUGUCCCACCAGAUGCAAGCAAUGGGAAAUCAGGAGGAAGAUGAGGGAAGCUCAAGCACAAAGCUGUCAGGAUUCAAUGAAGAGACCACAGCUCCAAAUGAGUCACCUCCUUGUAAGAAGAAAGCCUUAGAUGCGCUGUUUGGCGAUUCCUUCACCCAAAGA